rnacentral:rRNA from 1 species
AUGCAAGGGAGAGAAAAAAGCAGGCAUCUUUCCGUGCGCAAGGACAUCAUCGUCCCUUUUCUCCGAGAAUCGGAUGCGGAGACACCUCACAUGAAAGGUACAUCCAAUCCGUUGGAGCGGGGUUAUCUGGAGAAGAGCAUCGCAUUCCGCCCUUUUAAUGCCGUCAAAAUCAAGCACGAGCCCUUCGUUUCUUUGGUGCUCCCGUCCCGUCCCAUCCCCAUCUACCUACCGUGGACGGUGCCAGAAGAGGACCAGUCACAGCCUGCACUUGCACUGCACAUGAUCGCCUAUUUAAGCUUCUCCUGUUCUCGCCCACCCCGCUCCACCCCAUUCCCACUCUCUCCCAGCAGCGGCACGUCAUCAUCUUCCUCCCCCUCGCCGUCCGCGUGUACGUCCAACAGAGGCUGGGAACUUUAA